GACGAACGCUGGCGGCGUGCUUAACACAUGCAAGUCGAACGGUGAACGAGGGAGCUUGCUCCCUCCGGAUCAGUGGCGAACGGGUGAGUAACACGUGAGCAAUCUGCCCCGAACUCUGGGAUAAGCGUUGGAAACGACGUCUAAUACCGGAUACGACGCGGGAGGGCAUCCUCUCCGCGUGGAAAGAACUUCGGUUCGGGAUGAGCUCGCGGCCUAUCAGCUUGUUGGUGAGGUAACGGCUCACCAAGGCGACGACGGGUAGCCGGCCUGAGAGGGUGACCGGCCACACUGGGACUGAGACACGGCCCAGACUCCUACGGGAGGCAGCAGUGGGGAAUACUGCACAAUGGGCGCAAGCCUGAUGCAGCAACGCCGCGUGAGGGACGACGGCCUUCGGGUUGUAAACCUCUUUUAGCAGGGAAGAAGCGAAAGUGACGGUACCUGCAGAAAAAGCACCGGCUAACUACGUG
rnacentral:rRNA from 1 species